CUGGCGGCGUGCCUAAUACAUGCAAGUCGAACGGUCUUUCUAUGGAAGCUUGCUUCCACUGAGAAGAUAGUGGCGAACGGGUGAGUAACACGUGGGUAACCUGCCCAUAAGAGGGGGGAUAACAUCCGGAAACGGGUGCUAAUACCGCAUAGUUUUCUUGAUCGCAUGAUCGGGAAAGGAAAGACGGCCUUUGUGCUGUCGCUUAUGGAUGGACCCGCGGCGUAUUAGUUAGUUGGUGAGGUAACGGCUCACCAAGACGAUGAUACGUAGCCGACCUGAGAGGGUGAUCGGCCACAUUGGGACUGAGACACGGCCCAAACUCCUACGGGAGGCAGCAGUAGGGAAUCUUCCGCAAUGGACGAAAGUCUGACGGAGCAACGCCGCGUGAGUGAAAGAAGGUUUUUCGGAUCGUAAAACUCUGUUGUCAGAGAAGAACAAGUUGGAGAGUAACUGCUCCAGCCUUGACGGUAUCUGACCAGAAAGCCACGGCUAACUACGUGCCAGCCGCCGC
rnacentral:rRNA from 1 species